UUUGAGCAAAUGCAACACUUAUCAUUGAUUGUUUUAUUUGGAGUCAUUUUAUUAGCUUAAUAAAUAAAAUGUCAACAGAAGAUCUCUCAGAUUCAGAUCAUAAACAACACUUUUGUCAGCUGUUGUAUAUACGACCAAAUACGCCAGUGGGCGCGUCGGUCGUGCGGAUCUUUUUGCACAUAAGACGACUGAGUCGCUAACAUACCAUAUUCAAUGACUAAAAGCGACAAUUGCUGGGACAUAAAUUGAUUUUAUGAAUAUUUAAAAUCAAUUCAAAUGUGGUUGAGCAACAAAUGUCAGGUUGACUUUAGAAAUUAUAUAAUUCAAGGACAACAGUGUGAUAAAAAGUUGUAAUGUAACGAAUCAUAAAUCUUAUCGAAGUCUUUAAUCGUUUGAAAUUUCUCAGUUUAUUACUUCAUUUGUGUUUGUCUACUGUUAACUAGUAUAAAAAGCUGAUGAUUUCAUCGGUGGUUAUAGUAUUGAUUAAGUCGUUUGUGAGUUCUUAUUGAUUAGUUUCAAUAAGUGAUUAUCACAAUGCAGUCGUUCUUAGUCGUUAUUUCUGUAAGUACUUAUAACUAAAAUCAAACUAGUCCUACAAGCGAAGGAAUAUUAAAAACAUUCGGAAUUUUUAAGUGAUUUUCAACAUGCUAUAAAUCGGAGAAAAAUAAUCGUACAGUACAAACAAUACACAGCGAGUUGAAGCUUCAAGUUCCUAGUUUUUAAAUGUAGACUUGAAAAAUUUAUCAUGGAGGGUUUCGAAGUAAUCCUAAUUAACCGAUUUAAAUCGUUUUUGUGGCAAUCGAAAGAGUUUGUUGGCUGUCAACUUUAUCAAAUAUUUCAGGUCAUUUAAUCGAAUAAACUCAAAGAUAAUUAAAAAUUACGAAAAAAAAAUAGUAUAUACAUCUUGGGAAGUAAAUUAGAAAGCCUCGAAUCACGUGUUUGUUACACUUACAAUUGUACACUGUUUUAUUGUAUACUGAAGACGUCCAAUAAUUGUUAAGAUCUAAUCAACGUUAAACAAUUCUGGUUCGGGACGAUAAUGGAGGCAAAUAUGCGGCACGAUUAAAUUAGUAAGCGUUUUUCUCGUCGACCAUGAAUCCAGAGCAUGUAGAGUCUCGUAAAUUUCAUCAUUCAAAAAUUGUAUCAAUCCGAUCAAUGAUCAAUACUAUUAUGUCGAUCAAUCAUUUUAUUUUUCUAUAUUACGAUCAAGUGUUAGUUUUUUUAUAGCAAUCAAUCGUGAGAUUAAACUGCAACCAAUUGUUAAUGUUAUUUUGUCGCUCAACGAAAUGUUAUGUUGUUAUCAUUGUCAAGUACGAUUUGAUAUGUUCUGAAUGAAUUUAAUUCAUUGUUAUUUUUUUUUUUCAAUGCGGCAUUUAUUUCAUUUUAUCAUUUGCCGUGUUUUUGUGUAAGUUUUGUUGUCAGGUGAGUAUCGUCAGUUAACCCACCGCCCCUCUACUGAAUGCAGAGCUGCCAGUCUAAUCAAGGUUAUCAAUCGUCGAGGUGGUUCCUCGUUGAAUUAUCUUGGCGUCUAACUAAAAAUUUUGUCGCUACACGUUGCCAAUUGCAAGUGUUCUUGGACUUCACUUUCGGUCAACAAAAUUGAUAAAUCAUUUAAAAAUUAUUGAGAUAUUUUCAAGAAUUUGAUAGCCUCGGAAUUAAAUUAGAGACAGUUAACCCUCAUUUGACUCAUGAGUCAAGCAAGAACGUCCUUGAGGGAAGUAGAUAAAUGGCAUUAGAGUACUUAAAAAAACUUAAAGUUCGUCAUUUUAUUAACGGAUGAAGUUCAUUCGUGGAGAAUUUCAGGAAAUAACACAAAAGAAACUCCAACAAGCACUACGCCAAUUUGUGAUUGUAAUCCAGAUUCAAUCAUUGAUCCAAGAGCUCCAAAUUAUGAUCCCUCAAUGACUCGUGUUGGAUUUCUUCCAAAAGUAUGGCAAAUAGAAACAAUUAUGACAAUCAAAGAAAUAGACGCAUUGACAAAUAAAAUUGAUGAAAAGAUAACUGAAUAUUUGAGUGAUUCAAGUCAUUGGAUAUUACAACCUUUUGGUAAAAACAUUAGUUCUCUCGAUCUGCGUAAUUUACCAAAAGUUGUUUUAUUAAAACCAAGCCUUCUGCGCGUUAACUUAAAAACAUUUGGGACAAAUUACUCCACUGUGGAAAUUUUUUCAUACCUCGAGAGGUCUCCUCCAUCAAUUGAUAAUGUUUAUCUAACUUUUAAUUCCCAUAGUUCAGAACCUGUGGUAUAUAUUAAAGUAGAUACAAAUUGGCCGAUUGCGCAAGAUUUUCAUAAUGGAAGAAGAAGAAUGAUACUCAACGUUGUUCCUGUGUAUUUUUAAAAUUUCACGAGUCGGUAUUUUUUUAUGCUGAAGCGAUCCAUUAUAUUUAUUGUAAGAUCACACUAUCUAUUCGAUUUGAAAUGUAUCCGGAUUUUAAAACAAUCAUUGCAAAACAAAUUACAGAUUUCUUACCAUUAUUUCUGUAUACCAUAAUACAAAAACAUAAAUAAAAUUUAACAAAUAAAAAUUUUCCU